AUCAUGAAGAAGUUGAUUUACUAUUUUGACUAAUUUUCGGAAUUAUCUCUUAUUAAAAUAGCUUCUGUGCCACAAAAAUAAUUAAAGAUUGCUGCAUGGCCGGAAAUUUUAUAAAACUUGUUUCAAUAUUAUGUGGAAUGGAGUCGAAAGAAGUGGGGUUCUUUCAAACUAACCGAGAAGUGCAUAAUUAGCGAAGAGAAGAAGUCGAAGCCAGAUACCGUACCAGACCCCACUCGCCUCCGCAAGAAGAACCAUUGAAUAAUGGUUCAUGAGUUCACACUAAUUUAUUCUGGUUGCGGCAGAAAUUCACAACGGGUCAACAAAACGAAGUCCAUUCAGACUCACUAAAUCAGAUCCUGAAAGUACCAUCAUUAGCCACUGUUAUUGUUGAAUAACUCCAGGCUUUGGAAGAAAAGCUGUGGCCUGUGAACAGCUGUGAAUAUUGGUCAGAGAAGUGUAACUGACUCCGUACACUGCAAGUCCCAGCAGGAAAUCAGCAAGAAACCUAAAAGAAAAAAAACAUCAAAAUGAAAACCUAGCUUGAUUUAGGUUGAAGUAAUAAAAUUGUUCUAAUUUAAUUGGUGUUUUAUUUUACUAAUUAAAUAUAUUUUUUGACUUGUUAA